rnacentral:rRNA from 1 species
CCUACGAGUGGCUGCAGUGAGGCAUAUUGGUCAAUGGGCGCGAGCCUGAACCAGCCAAGUCGCGUGAGGGAAGACGGUCCUAUGGAUUGUAAACCUCUUUUGUCGGGGAGCAAAAGACGCCACGCGUGGCGUUCCGAGAGUACCCGAAGAAACAGCCUCGGCUAACUCCGUGCCAGCAGCCGCGGUAAUACGGAGGAUGCGAGCGUUAUCCGGAUUUAUUGGGUUUAAAGGGUGCGCAGGCGGAAGAUCAAGUCAGCGGGAAAAUUGAGAGGCUCAACCUCUUCGAGCCGUUGAAACUGGUUUUCUUGAGUGAGUGAGAAGUAUGCGGAAUGCGUGGUGUAGCGGUGAAAUGCAUAGAUAUCACGCAGAACUCCGAUUGCGAAGGCAGCAUACCGGCGCUCAACUGACGCUCAUGCACGAAAGUGUGGGUAGCGAACAGGAGUAGAUACCCCAGUAGUC